AUAACAUACACUUCUAGACUAGUCUUUCCUUUAUGGGGAGCCUGUUCCCUCUCAGACCAAUUUUUUGCUACUGCCAAUUUCAGGGCCUUGUAUCUCUUACAUUACACUGCUGCCCCAGUCCCCUGGGGCAAAAGCUCAUCUGAAACUGCAAGUUUCAAGUAUUCAGCUUCUCAUGUUUGCUAUAUUUAUCAUCAUGGUGAUUCCCAAUUAGUUUUUGUGUGCUAAUAUACUGGAAAAGAUGAAAUGUGGGUAGCGCUCUUAAUUUCAUACAGAUGGUUCCAAUUUAGUUCAGGGUGCUGGAGUUGUCCUUUUAUUAGCAUUAAUUGGUGACAGUGCCAUUUGUCCACACUGUAACUCUGAGAAGAAUAGCAGAGCUCUGGUUUGAUUUAUUGUUGUGCAAGAACACUUGCAUUCCUUCCAUUUUCUUUCAGUCUGGGUUAAUUUAUUUUUUUUUUUAGUUUAGCUGGAAUCAACAUAUUAACACAGUGUAAAUGGUGUGACUUACACUGAGCAUUUGAAUUCAAUACUUUUGAAUCCUCGUACAUGUGUGAUAUUGCAGCAUAAUAAAACCAAGACUUACCUGCUUAGCUGUAUGAAAUUGCCUGGUUGUUUCCAUCCUUUUUUUGUAAAAAAGUCUCACAAAGGCCAGUCCCCAUUGUGAACAUCCUCACCCACAUUCAUACAAACCAGUUUCAGCUGUGGCUCCUGCAGUAUUUCCCUAGUUCCUGAAUUUUCACUGGCCACCAGACAAGUCAGAAGCAGCAGGGCAGGUCUGAGACCAAGUGAACAGCCCUAGCUCUGUGAGUUACCUGGCCAGGCACUGUUGCAAUGCAGCUCAGACAGAGGAACUGUGAAGUCUCCCCCCCAAUACGUCUUCUCCCUCAUGAAUUCUGUGUGAAGUGAUAGUUUAUCCUGGAGAAUCCUAUGCAACCGAUACAACUUCAUUACUUUGAGACAGGUGUUGAAACCAUCUGAGAAUGCAUGGAGAAGUGCAACCAUAAAGCAGAUGAGAAAAGUGAUCUCCUCACCUCUCCUCCAUCCAAGAACAUGGGGCAGGACCAGCAGGGCUGAGCCAGCUUAAAUGAGUUUCUCAGAGAAGAUGCACCUAUUGGGUAGCAUUGCCUGAAAAUACAGUGCUGCCUUCUAGACUCUCCUUUCCCAAACCUGCAGUGUUAGAAAUAUAACAAUCUCUUGCUGUUUGCUGAUUGCAAAAUAUUUUUGGAGUUUGAGGGUUUUUUGGUCUAGGUUUUAACAAUUCUAUUGGUCAUUGAGCAUAUUUAGUCCUCCCUAACACCAUGUUAGGAUAAAAGCAGUGUUAACCAUUCACAACUAAUGACAAAUUGAAAUUUGGGGGUUGACAAUGCAUUUUCUGUGAAAGAGAAGAAAUUUCUAUGGCCUGUCUUAUGCAACAUUACAGUAUCAAAUAAAGACACAAAUCUGA